UUUCCGUUAGACUCUCUGUUCUUCUCGAGCUUGACCUUUUGGUAAACGGCACCUGUUACAACGUUUUUAACACGUUAACGAAGUGGUUACGUUCUUUUCAACGCUUUUGGCCUACUUUUCUGACAGAAACGACCGUGUCCAGGAAAAUUGCCACACCAGCUAGCAAAGCUACUGUGCUUUUACUGUACCAUUUUUUUGGGAGCUGACCUCCAAAUGAACCUACAGAGGAAAUACAGGGAUUAUCGCCCAGUGAGGGAGAGAAGCUGUUAUAAGUGAUGCUACCAGCCUGGUCUGCAUCACCUUGUAUCCCAUCAUAUUUUGAAGGGUGUUGCUGUCAGGACGGUGGUGGUAAAUCUAGCAGCUAUUUGAACUGGCAGCUG